UACGUAGGGUGCGAGCGUUGCCCGGAUUUACUGGGCGUAAAGGGCGCGUAGGCGGCGUGACAAGUCACUUGUGAAAUCUCCGGGCUUAACUCGGAACGGUCAAGUGAAACUGUCGUGCUAGAGUACAGAAGGGGCAACUGGAAUUCUCGGUGUAGCGGUGAAAUGCGUAGAUAUCGAGAGGAACACCUGCGGCGAAGGCGGGUUGCUGGGCCGACACUGACGCUGAUGCGCGAAAGCCAGGGGAGCGAACGGG
rnacentral:rRNA from 1 species